GUCUACAGUCAUACCACCCUGAACGACCCUGAUCUCAUCUGAUCUCAGAAGCUAACCAGGGUGGGGUCUGGUUAACACUUGUAUGGAAGAGUGGCUUGAAUGAGAUAGGAAGAUAUGAAGUGAUAGUAGGAA
rnacentral:rRNA from 1 species